AUAUAUAUAUAUAUAGAGAGAGAGAGAGAGAGAGAGAGAGAUAACGGUAAAAAUAAACAGAAAGAGUCCGGUUCGAGGAAUAAAUAAGUAAAGAGAGUACUUAAGAAGCGCAAGAGGCGCAGUGUUUUUACAGCAGAUCAUCAUCAAGUGGCAUGCCCACUGACUCAUUCCAUCAUAUCAGCAGUACACAAUAUAUUUGGCAAAUUUAACGCACAAGUAAAUUUUACUGAGAUAAAAAAUUUUAAAUGUGGACUCGCUCUCACAGGGCACAGUGGGACACUGACACCAUUAAAUUGUUGCAGCAUCUUGCCAAAGGAGGACACAAAGCCAGUCUCUCCAAAUUACAGUAUGUACAACAAGAAGUGAGAUUUCUUGGGUCAUGACAUUUCUGCAAAGGGAAAGAAACUCUCCACAGAAAGAGUAUCUGCAAUGCAGAAGAUUCCCAAGCCCCUGACGAAGAAACAAGUUCUCUCUUUCCUAGGUAAGUUGGAUCCAGUUUCCCCCCGUGUGUACGUGCAGUAGCAGCAGCUGAGAAAGCUGUGGUGGCAUAAAGAGACCUGGUAGGUUACUCAGAAUUGAUUCUCUUGGUUCCACAUGAGGUGUUGUUACUCCUACUUGAGCAGAAAACCUCACACCUGUCCACCCAGCGGUGGCUGCACCAUAACACUAUAAGACUAGACAUGCCGAAUGUCACUUUAAAACCAUGUACUGUCCUUAACCCUGCUACUCUUCUUCCAACAGAGGGAGACGGGGAACCACAUGAUUGUGUCGUACUGACUAAUGAACUCUGCUCCCCUAGAGUCGACCUGAAAGACGUUCUAUUGGAAAACUCAGAUCUGAUCCUCUUUGUGGACGGAUCUGCGUCACGUGACCCAGAGACAGCUUUCAGAUACCAAGCACGGGCUACACGGACGAGGAAAAGGCUGUGUGGCACAAAGCAGGCUGCACGGUUGUUGACGGAGUUUGGCGAUGCCCCCAGGGCUGUCCUUGUCUUCAAAGUUGACGCAUGGCAGGGACCAUGCGUAAAAAGGGGGAAUGAUGGCUGCGAAAAGCAUUGGUUUCUCUAAUUAGUCUAAAAAAAAAUAAUAAUAAUUUUUUAAAAUUAUUUUGUUUAUGAUGUUUGCGCAGGUCAUAACGUGGGUUGAGGUUUGAAGGUAGAGAAGGCCACGUCCCUACGUCCAAACAGGACUCAGAAGCGGUAGUGAUAUCAUCCAGCUUGAUAUCAAGCGGUGUGCAUAUCAUCCAGCUAGUGGUGGGGUGGUAGAGAGAGAAAAUGGGACACUAAAAAACAGACUGAGCAAAUGCUCUUCUGAAACAGGCUUAAGAUGGGCUUAGCCCCUUUGGGAUACUGAUUGGGAGACCUCCACACACAGGAAUUGGACCUGUGACAGCUCCUCUUCCCGACUGCAGCAUGUGAUGAUGUAAUGUUAAAUUACUGUGCAACCCUGUCCUCUGCUCUGCACUCUAUCCACAAGCAGGUAAAGGCAGCAUUUCCAGCUCCAGCCAUGGGUCCGCUGCAUGAUCUGAAGCCCGGAGAGUGGGUCGUGAUCAAGGACUUCCGCAGGACCAGGUGGAACAAGCCACGGUGGUCUGGGCCAUUCUAGAUCCUUUUUCGUCACUCACUCUGUGGUAAAGUGACGCCAGCCACUGCAGGAGUGUGCCAGAGCCGAGCACUGAGCUGGAGAAGACAGGACUGCAAUAGGAGAACUAGACCAUAAUUCUCUAUCAAGAGGUCUCUAGGAGGACCAACGCUCCCGAGCGACGAUCUGCCUAUACACACCCACACACAUGAACCAAUCCCAUGCGACUCCACAAUAGACGGUCUUAAGUGGAUAACGCCUAAGAAGGCCACGUCAUGUCACUGAGAUCAGUACAGAAUGUUUAUCUGCUUACAGAGACACAAACAUGUUCUUCUGUUCAAGGUUCAUCUAAACAUCUUCCAAGAUCCUAAAACAAAGCCUGUUUGAACUGCCUCAAACUGCUUCUUAUCAGUACACAGAAUGAUGUCAUGCUCUGCGUUUCAUAUAUAUAGUAGUGGUUCAGUACAAGGACUUCAGAGCGCUCUCAUUAUUCUAUCCUGCUUUAUUCCAUCCUGUAUUAACCAUCUUUCUGUAAUAAACCUUUUUCCCUUCAGAGGA